GCGCCCUUAGCUCAGGGGGAUAGAGCAACGGCCUUCGAAGCCGUGGGUCGCAGGUUCGAAUCCUGCAGGGCGCGCUA
rnacentral:tRNA from 1 species